rnacentral:lncRNA from 1 species
GUGAGAUACACUAAUAACUUGGACCAAGAGAAUUAGAGUGGCAAUCAAGGCAAGGGGAAAGAUAUCUUGGUAGCCAAUACAAAUUAUAAAAAGAUUAUAUUAGAAAAGUAAUUGAUUGCCAGUAAAUACAGAUUGCACAAGAUAGAUAUAUAUUGAAACCAAAAAAGGCAUAUAUAUCCAGUAGUGGAUGAAAUAAGAAAUUCUUCUUCUUCUAUGGAGGUUAUAGUUUAGCCUUUUCCUCCGAUCUAAGAUUAGUUGGUUAGACAAAACAUUUUGUAUUUCGAAUGUAUUUUUCUAGAGCUGCCAUAUGGGAAAGAAAUGGGAUGCACUGCGAUGGCCAAUAAAGUGGGAUGAGAUCGCUGAUAGAUGAAAUAUUCAAUUUCAAAUCUGCGUUAAGUUGGUUCCUUGCCUCUCUGAAUGUUGGGCACUCUUUCCAGAAAAGGACGGUGUUUCAACAGCGCCAAUACUGUAUGCAGUUCGGGAACGGUAGUAGCCUGCGGGAAUAUAGAAAAGCGUUAAGAGGCGCCGUGUUCGUACGCAGGCGGUGGAAGAAAUGAUGAUUACCUAUAAAGGCUUUAAUAUACUGUAAAAGUAUUGCUUAAAAACUAUGGAUGAAUUUUAAACAACAAAAUUACCGAUUCGCAUUUAUUAAUUACAUGAUAGAUUUUUAAUUUCCUAUGAAAUCUUUUUCUAUAUAAAUUGCCACUUCAAAACACAUCAUUAUUUCCUUCAACGAGAUAUCAUUGGAUUUUAUAGUAGGAUGAUUAAAUCUAUAAAACAAAAUAUUAUAACUACGGCUUAAUUCACA